AUAGUGCCUCCUAUUGUGAAACCACCAGUGAUAUUGCCUCCAGUUACAGUUCCUCCAAUCAUUGUCCCUCCGGUUGUGAAACCCACUCUUCCUCCGAUUCCAGGGGUGACACCCAUUCUUCCCCCGGUUCUGGUGCUAAACCCACCAAGCACUACUCCUACUACUCCUGGUUCUGGUUCAUGCCCACCACCAAAGUCUCCUCCUGGUGGCGGCGGGGGUUCGCAGGCGACAUGUCCCCUUGACCCGUUGAAAUUGGGAAGGGCUUGUGGAGGUUGAAGCUGCUGCAUGUCUCUGCACCACUUUGAAGCUCAAGCUUCUGAAUCUCAACAUCUAUGUGCCUCU
rnacentral:lncRNA from 1 species